rnacentral:rRNA from 1 species
UGAGUAAUGUCUGGGAAACUGCCUGAUGGAGGGGGAUAACUACUGGAAACGGUAGCUAAUACCGCAUAACGUCGCAAGACCAAAGAGGGGGACCUUCGGGCCUCUUGCCAUCAGAUGGGCCCCAGAUGGGAUUAGCUAGUAGGUGGGGGUAAUGGCUCACCUAGGCGACGAUCCCUAGCUGGUCUGAGAGGAUGACCAGCCACACUGGGAACUGAGACACGGUCCAGACUCCUACGGGAGGCAGCAGUGGGGAAUAUUGCACAAUGGGCGCAAGCCUGAUGCAGCCAUGCCGCGUGUGUGAAGAAGGCCUUCGGGUUGUAAAGCACUUUCAGCGAGGAGGAAGGUGGUGAGCUUAAUACGCUCAUCAAUUGACGUUACUCGCAGAAGAAGCACCGGCUAACUCCGUGCCAGCAGCCGCGGUAAUACGGAGGGUGCAAGCGUUAAUCGGAAUUACUGGGCGUAAAGCGCACGCAGGCGGUUUGUUAAGUCAGAUGUGAAAUCCCCGGG